rnacentral:rRNA from 1 species
GAUGAACGCUAGCGACAGGCUUAACACAUGCAAGUCGAGGGGUAACAGGGUAGCAAUACCGCUGACGACCGGCGCACGGGUGAGUAACGCGUAUGCAACCUGCCUAUAACUGGGGAAUAGCUCCCUGAAAGGGGAAUUAACACCGCAUAACACUAUUGAUUCGCAUGGAUUAGUAGUUAAAUGUAGCGAUACAGGUUAUAGAUGGGCAUGCGUGACAUUAGCUAGUUGGUGAGGUAACGGCUCACCAAGGCUACGAUGUCUAGGGGUUCUGAGAGGAAGGUCCCCCAACUGGUACUGAGACACGGACCAGACUCCUACGGGAGGCAGCAGUGAGGAAUAUUGGUCAAUGGGCGCAAGCCUGAACCAGCCAUGUCGCGUGCAGGAAGACUGCCCUAUGGGUUGUAAACUGCUUUUAAGUAGAAGAAACACAUCUACGCGUAGAUGUCUGCCAGUAUACUAUGAAUAAGCAUCGGA